AGUUGGGAAGCAAAAAACACACAAAAAUAAUAAAUUUCUAUAUCCCAUGGCUUCAAUAUUUUUACAAGUUCUUGCACUACUUGCAAUACUAUACAUUCUUCAAGAAUUACACAAUAAAUUCAUAAAAAAGAAGAAAAAACUCCCUCCUGGUCCAAAAGGGCUUCCAAUUAUAGGAAAUCUCCAUAUGAUUGGCAAAAAUAUCCACCAAGAUCUUCAUAAAAUAGCCAAAAAAUAUGGUCCAAUAAUGAGCAUGAAAUUUGGUGUUAUUCCUAUAAUUGUUGCUUCAUCUCCUCAUGCUGCUGAACAAUUCUUGAAAAAACAUGAUCUUAUUUUUGCUAGUAGACCAAAUAAUAGAGCUAUGCGAAUCGUCGCGUAUAAUCAGAGAAAUUUAACGUUUGCAAAAUAUGGACCUUAUUGGAGAAAUAUACGAAAAUUAUGCAUGUUAGAAUUGCUUAGUCCAAAUCAUUUCAAGAAAUGAGAAAACAACAAGUUACAAAUUUUGUGACUUUUAUCAAUCGGGCAGCUUCUGGUCAUGAUGAAGUUGAUAUUAGUGCUAAUCUUUCUUUAUUAAGUGCUAAUAUGUCAUGUUUAAUGAUAUUUGGAAAAAAAUAUAUGGAUGAUGAAUUUAAUGAAAGGGGUUUUAAAGAUGUUAUUCAAGAGGCUUUGAUUAUAGCAGCAACACCAAAUAUUGGCGAGUUUUUUCCUUUUCUAGAUAAGUUUGAUUUUCAAGGAUUAAUUCCUCGUACGAAAAAAUUGGCAAAGGUAUUUGAUGAAUUUUUAGAGAGAGUUAUUGAUGAACAUGUUCAAAAUUCCAAAGAGGAGAAACAAACUAAGGAUAUUGUUGAUACUAUGAUGAAUAUCAUGCAAUCUGGUGAAGCUGAAUUCGAAUUCGAUCGUCGUCAUAUCAAGGCUAUUUUAUUGGACUUGUUAAUAGCUUCUAUAGACCCUCAGCAACAUCAAUUGAUUGGAUUUUGUCUGAACUUGUAAGGCACCCAAAAGUAAUGAAGAAAUUACAAAAGGAGUUGGAACAAGUAGUUGGAAUGAAUAGAAUUGUGGAAGAAUCAGACUUGGAAAAAUUAAAAUACUUAGACAUGAUCAUCAAAGAAGGCUUUAGGCUUCACCCUAUUGCACCACUACUCAUCCCUCAUGAAUCAAUGGAAGAUUGCAUGAUUGAUGGCUUUAAUAUACCUAGAGGUUCAAGAAUUCUAGUAAAUACCUGGGCAAUCGGAAGAGAUCCAGAAGUUUGGCCCGAACCUGAGAAGUUCAUGCCAGAAAGGUUUGUUGGAAGUGAUAUUGAUCUUCGUGGACGUGAUUUUCAACUUUUACCAUUUAGCUCUGAAAGAAGAAGUUGUCCUGGAUUACAGUUAGGGCUCAUAGUCGUUCGCUUUGUAAUAGCACAAUUGGUUCAUUGUUUUGAUUGGAAGCUACCAAAUGAUUUAGACAUGACUGAAAAAUUUGGUUUAGUUGUAUCUAGAGCUCAACAUUUAGUGGCUAUUCCUACUUAUCGAUUGCAUGUAUAGUUUAUAUGAGUCUUGGUAGAGCGGGGUGGGUUAGAGCUUUUGCAGGUGCGUAGCAAAUUUAAAUAUUUAAAAGCAGAGUUGAACACGCAAGCACUAACUCAUUCAAGGUGUGUGGAACCUAUUUAUGGGGUCUGAAAAUGCUAGACUACAACAACCUAUUAUAUUAA